rnacentral:rRNA from 1 species
CAGGAGCUUGCUCCUCUGACGUAGCGGCGGACGGGUAUAACACGUGGGUAACCUACCUAUAAACUGGGAUAACUCCGGAAACCGGGGCUAAUACCGGAUAACACAUGAAACCGCAUGGUUUCAUGAUGAAAGACGUUUUGCUGUCACUUAUAGAUGGACCCGCGGCGUAUCAGCUAGUUGGUAAGGUAACGGCUUACCAAAGGCAACGAUUACGUAGCCGACCUGAGAGGGUGAUCGGCCACACUGGAACUGAGACACGGUCCAGACUCCUACGGGAGGCAGCAGUAGGGAAUCUUCCGCAAUGGGCGAAAGCCUGACGGAGCAACGCCGCGUGAGUGAUGAAGGUCUUCGGAUCGUAAAACUCUGUUAUUAGGGAAGAACAAGGAUGUAAGUAACUAUGCAUCCCUUGACGGUACCUAAUCAGAAAGCCACGGCUAACUACGUGCCAGCAGCCGCGGUAAUACGUAGGUGGCAAGCGUUAUCCGGAAUUAUUGGGCGUAAAGCGCGCGUAGGCGGUUUUUUAAGUCUGAUGUGAAAGCCCACGGCUCAACCGUGGAGGGUCAUUGGAAACUGGAAAACUUGAGUGCAGAAGAGGAAAGUGGAAUUCCAUGUGUAGCGGUGAAUGCGCAGAGAUAUGGAGGACACCAGUGGCGAAGGGACUUUCUGGUCUGCAACUGAC